rnacentral:rRNA from 1 species
GACGAACGCUGGCGGCGUGCUUAACACAUGCAAGUCGAACGGUAAGGCCCCAGCUUGCUGGGGUACACGAGUGGCGAACGGGUGAGUAACACGUGGGUGACCUGCCCCGCACUUCGGGAUAAGCCUGGGAAACUGGGUCUAAUACCGGAUAGGACCGCACCGUGAGGGUGUGGUGGAAAGUUUUUCGGUGUGGGAUGGGCCCGCGGCCUAUCAGCUUGUUGGUGGGGUAAUGGCCUACCAAGGCGGCGACGGGUAGCCGGCCUGAGAGGGUGGACGGCCACAUUGGGACUGAGACACGGCCCAGACUCCUACGGGAGGCAGCAGUGGGGAAUAUUGCACAAUGGGCGGAAGCCUGAUGCAGCGACGCCGCGUGGGGGAUGACGGCCUUCGGGUUGUAAACCCCUUUCACCAUCGACGAAGGUUUUCUGACGGUAGAUGGAGAAGAAGCACCGGCUAACUACGUG